rnacentral:piRNA from 1 species
UUAUAUGGGUCCAUCUUUAGAAACAGACUUU